CAUUUUGUCACUGCAGACUUUUUGUUUUUUAAAUCAUUUUAGGUUCAUCAUAUUCUCACACAGCCAGUGUUAACACAGUCUGUUUGUGUGUUUUACUGCCAGGAUGAGAUGCCUGCAGUUAUCCCAGGUUUGUGUUGUCCUCAUUGCCUUCCUCGUCCAGCUACUUGCAGUGCCUUUGGCGAUCCUCAUUACCGGACCUUCGAUGGCCGCAUGCUGCACUUCCAGGGAACGUGCACAUAUGUCCUGACACAGGAUUGUGAGAGUGGAGAUUUCAGUGUUCAUGCUACAAAUGAUGAUCGUGGACGUAAAGGAGUGUCCUGGACUAAAGAGGUUACUGUGUUUUUGGGUGAUGUCACAGUGCAGCUACUGCAGGACUGGAUUGUGAAGGUGAAUGAUGAGGCUGUAACUUUGCCAUUUCUCAGGGAACCAUACAUCUAUAUCGAACGGCAAACCAACACAAUUUUACUCAACACUAACAUUGGUCUGAAGGUGCUGUGGAGUCCUCGUUCACAUGUAGAAGUAAGUGUGCCAGGCUCCUAUAAGGGCCACACCUGUGGACUUUGUGGAAACUUCAACAACUACUACCAGGAUGACCUCCGGAUGCCAAAUGGACGAAUCACCCUAUCUGAGUCUGAAUUUGGAAACAGCUGGAGGGUCACAAAUGGUACCCAUUUCCGCUCCUCCUGUCGUCCUGGCGAGAAUGUUGACCCUUGUAAGGAUGCAGGCUACCAGGCCAAGAAGGGGGCCAACACUCGCUGUAAAAUCCUGAAGUCUGCCAUCUUUAAGCCCUGUCAUCCCGUGGUGCCUCCUGAACAGUGGUACGGAGCUUGUGUUUACGACCUCUGUGCUUGCGGUGCAAAUACUGAUGACUGUCUUUGUGACACGUUGGAGGCCUACGCGAGCCAGUGCAGAGCAGCAGGAGUCAUCGUGCAGUGGAGGAGCGCGUCUCUGUGUGCUGUGGGCUGCCCAGUGGAGAGGGGCUUUGUGUUUGAUGAGUGCGGCCCCCCUUGUCCUGUAACCUGCUUUAAUGUCGAUGUACCUCUGGGAGUGAUAGAAAGCCACUGUUUCAAGCCCUGUGUUCCAGGAUGUCAGUGUCCUGCUGGUCUGGUCCUACACAACAACUACUGCAUACCACAAGAGAAGUGUCCAAAGAUCAUUCAUGGCAGCUCCUCAAAUGCCACAGUUACUCAAUAAGUGGACACUCACUUAUAAUUUCACACACAUGCACUGUCACUGCAUCAGCCCCAUGUUACUGUAUACAAUGGAAACAUUUCCAGAUGAACCUCCAUGACCUGUGGACUCCACAUACUGUGUUUGUUGGUUUUUAUAAAUAUUGUAACACUGAAUAUUUAAUUCCAUACCUAGUUUGUUUCACACAUUUACUUUAACAGUAUUAGCAAUUAUUUAAAGUUGUUUAUUAUGCAGGUUACAUUUUUAGCACUGUGCAAUGUCUGACUGUUCAUACAGGAAGCCAUAUAAUCUCAGGUAAUCUUUUCCUUCUCCAUUUUAUAAAUAAAAGUUUCACUAAUA